AUCCAAGUACGUAGUAGUUAACGCAAAUCGACCAUGAAGACCUUACUCAUCCUGACGAUCCUUGCGAUGGCAAUAACCAUCAGCACCGCCAAUAUGCAGGUCGACCCUAGUGGCCAAGUACAAUGGCCACAACAACAACUAGUCCCCCAACCCCAACAGCCAUUAUCCCAGCAACCGCAACAAGCAUUUCCCCAACCCCAACAAACAUUUCCCCAUCAACCACAACAACAAGUUCCCCAGCCUCAGCAACCACAACAACCAUUUCUCCAGCCCCAACAAGCAUUCCCCCAACAACCACAACAACCAUUCCCUCAGACUCAACAACCACAACAACCAUUUCCCCAGCAACCACAACAACCAUUUCCCCAGCAAUCACAACAACCAUUCCCCCAGACUCAACAACCACAACAACCAUUUCCCCAGCAACCACAACAACCAUUCCCCCAGACUCAACAACCACAACAACCAUUUCCCCAGUUCCAGCAACCACACCAACCUUUUCCCCAGCCCCAACAACAAUUCCCGCAGCCCCAACAACCGCAACAAUCAUUCCCCCAGCAACAACGACCGUUCAUUCAGCCAUCUCUACAACAACGUUUGAACCCAUGCAAGAAUAUCCUCUUGCAACAAUGCAAACCUGCGUCAUUGGUGUCAUCCCUCUGGUCGAUAAUCUGGCCACAAAGCGAUUGCCAAGUGAUGCAGCAACAAUGCUGCCAAGAACUAGCACAGAUUCCUCAGCAGCUCCAGUGCGCAGCCAUCCAUAGCGUCGUGCAUUCCAUCAUCGUGCAGCAGCAGCAACAACAACAACAACAACAACAACAACAACAAGGCAUGCAUAUCCUGCUGCCACUAUCUCAACAACAACAGUUGGGUCAAGGUACUCUCGUCCAAGGCCAGGGCAUCAUCCAACCUCAGCAACUAGCUCAAUUGGAGGCGAUCAGGUCAUUGGUGUUGCAAACUCUUCCAACCAUGUGCAACGUGUAUGUCCCACCUGAGUGCUCCAUCAUCAGGGCACCAUUUGCCAGCAUCAGGGCAUCAUCAGGGCACCAUUUGCCAGCAUAGUCGCGGGGAUUGGUGGCCAAUGAAAAAAGCAAGAUCUAUACUAAUAGAUAGAUGGAUCAUCGUUACUUAGCAGAUGCACCAAUCGAUGUAACGAUGACAAAUAAAGUGGCGUGCACCAUCAUGUGUGACCCCGACCAGUGCUAGUUCAAGCUUGGGAAUAAAAGACAAACAGAGUUCUUGUUUGCCAGCAUUGCUUGUCAUUGUUCCAUUCACCAUGUAUUUAGAUGUUCAUCCCUAACCGCAGUUCUAGGCUUACACAUCAACAGCUAGUUGCUUGUGCCGGCAGGUUCCUAUGUAAUCUACCGAUUAAUGGUUGACCUAUUAAUCCAGUUUAUAGGCCGAUUGAUCUAUUAAUUGCUGCUCCCAAACUGACCGACCAGCUAUCAGUUACCAUUUUGCUGAACAUUGCACACAGUAAUAACUCAACGUAUUUUAAUGUCUAGAAGUAAAAGGGCCAUUUUAGCAGCAAAACAAGCGCCUGAUUAGGAACCAUCCAUCACUUUAAAUGUUCACCAAGAUAUUUUUGCGUUGGUGCAAUUUUGAGAUUGGUGGCACCGAAACAUUCCUCAAAGCAAUUCUUUAUGGGACUCCAAAGAGGUGAAAAUAAAGUAAAGUUGCCACAUGGUAAAAUAUAAAUCAUGCGGCGAGCAAGAGAAAAUAUUGAGUUACGAUAGCAAGCGCCAAACAUGCCAUUAAACUCUUCAUAUGGUUUCGUGCAGAGAGGGGGGAUUUAGAGAUGACAAACAAAGCUUAAGUAGCAUCGGUUCUGAUUGUAGAAAUUUCUUUUACCUAUAGAAUAACUCGGUUGUUAUUUCUUUAACAAUGUAGUGUGAUAUUAACUUAUCUCAAUCUAGGAACACAAAGCAAAUAUUACAUGUGCUUCUAUGGAUUCCAAGCAGAUGAGAAAUCAUAUUGUGUAGAAGUUCAUUAGAAGGAUAUAAUAGUUUUGACCUAAACAAAUUUACUAUUGUACUCGUGUCUUAGAAAAUUAAAGCUGAAAAUCAACAUAACCAUUGGACACUUCGAAAGACAAGUGUGGGAAAUAAAUAGUAGGAUGUAAAUUUGAGUAGAGUGUUUGAUCAAAUAUUGAACAAAUAACCCACAAACUACUAAAACUCAUCUAUUAAUUCUACCAUAUAUGAACUGUCACAAUGAUAAAGCUAUGAUUUUUUUGACAAAUAUGUAUCCUAGAACUAAUACAAGUUCAAACAAAUCAGCCACAGAUCCCCGAGCCCAUCCAACCAGAUAGCUGAAACUGAAAGAAGCAUUAGCUUGAUUAGAGCACCUACAGCCUAACUUGACAAAUUUGACCCCAGAAACGCUCGCGGACGCGCCCGGUAGUAACCGGUCACGCCUAAAAUAUUUCAUUCUACAACCAGAUACCUCAAAUUAGAAACCUCAAAUCCAUAUUAUUACAUGCAACAUAAAUCGAUCUUUAAGCAGAGCACGUCCGGUGAUCGAAUGCUCUCCGGAGUGUUGGUCCAGUCACCGGCAAGUUAGAGUAGGGCAUGGGAUACGAGGCGGGUCACGGGACUCGAGGCGCCACCGUCCCCCAUUCCCAACUCUUCUCCAUCGGAACCAGGACGGUGCCGGUGGACGUCAGAUCGAUGAUGGAUCCUUCCUGGGAUGAGCCAUCAACAUCGACCACCACGUGGUUGCGGUGCCCGGACUAGUGCACAAUAUGGGGAGCCGAAAAAUACGACUUUGCCUUCGCAACGACCACCACCGCGAGGGCUGUCGCCGCCUCCCGCACCCGCUGCCUUGCAUGGCAGGAGCGCCGAACUAUGUUUUGCGUCGGGCGGUGCCCAUGGUGUGUCCAUGGCCUCAGCACGCCAAUGGAGGGGCUGUGCGUCUGCCACCCAUUUGAACGCUAGAUGGACCGCACCACCUCUGGUGAGGCAGUGAUGGUACACCUAGCGCCGGAUCCAUGCAUCAUUUGGGCGGACGCAUUGGAUUCCCCGCGGAAGGAGUUCGAGCAUUGCCGUUGCCAUCGGGCAGCCUCCUCCUGAGACCGGCGGAGCGCAAGCUCGAUUGCCAUCUCCUCCUAGGAGCCGCGUGGGAUGAGUUCGGGGUCGACGGAUCUGGAGGUAUAACACUGGGAUCCGCCGCCUGCCAUGCCGAAGAAGGCCAUAAGAUCGUCGGACGGGGGCGGCAGGGAGUGAAGUGAAGUGGCUAGGGUUUGGUCCGGCAAGCGGAUGGGGAGGAAUAUAUGUGGGGUCGGGUGGGCCAGCGUGGAUCGGGACCGACAUGGCGGACGCGCGUGGGCGCCCCAUAUUCUUCCCAGAUUUCGGCUGGAUAUGAGGGGUGUUGGUCAGCUUGGGCGUUGAGGCCCGUCUAGGUCAUUUUUCUGUGACCUGGCCGUCCGCCGGGGUGUUUGAAGUGGGUUUGGGACACCCGGGUGUAAAUGCUCUUAGACCAUGUAGUACCUUGAGGAGGAUGGUGUGGGUCCAUGAAAGAACUACAGCCUUUCCAUUAUGUUCGGGCGCAGGGCGAUAACGAAGUUAUCUUUACUCCUACAAGGGGAGUUGUUAGUCUCCGUUCCAUGGGUUUUUUUGUCUCACCUCCCAUCUUCGUUUCAUUUUUUCCGUCUCUCUUUCACACCGUCGGGUGGAGCUUAUGUGUCAUACUCCGUGACCUUUCAUUAGUUUUCUAGAGAGAAUCCUACUCUCAUAGAUUGCGACGUUUAACAAUCAGACUCAUAUAGGUGUGUUCUUCAAAAGAUGUUCUGCAGGACAACAUCUCUCCUUCAAAAAGCCACUUAGAACACAUUAAGAUAUACAUCAACCUACCAUGCAGAUUAGGAGAGUAUUGCAUCUUCAUGGAGUGGUAUUUUAACAAUAAGGAUACACUACUAGGGAAAAGGCUAGCAGCAGCGCGGGUUUUUGGUGUAUCAGUAGCGCGGGGUGGGGCGCUACUAAUAAGGCGCUACAGCUAACAUAUAGCAGUAGCGCGUGGUCACCGGCGCUACUGCUACACAAGUGUAGCAGCAGCGCGGUUACUGGGAGCACGCUACUGCUAGUAGCUCUAGCGCCCUUUGCAGCAACGCGCUACUGCUAUAGAGGCGCUGCUGCUAACUUCUAUACACUCGCUACUGCUAAUUUAACAGGUUUUUUGUUUUUUUGGGCAUAUUUGUUUUGUAUUUGAACAGGCUUUAUAGAAGAAUCUUUAGCACAUAGAAAUGUCAUCAUGAUACACAUACAAAUGCCUGCGAGACCACGAAUAUAAUCAUAGCAUAUACAUACAAAUAGUCUCAUCAUAAUCAUCAUCCAACACAAAGUGGUCUCUCGUCAUCAUCUCGAAAAUAGCGAUACAAGUCCUUGAUUACUUGCAAAUACAUUGUCAUCCAUCUAAACAAUGGUAUACGCGAGAAGAGCUAUCACUUUGAGAACAUGAGUUCGUAUCCCUCUCUCGCAUUAGCGUGAACCUAAACUAACUACUGCCUGUCGCUCGGAAACCGGAAACCGGCAACACCUGGGUCUGACACUCCGGUCACUCAUCGUAUAUAUACUCCUGGCGUAGCACUUCUUCGCCAUCGAUGAUCUAUGCACCUGCAUCAUCACAUGAGUAGAUGAUAUGCAACAUAUAUAGUUGAGCAACAGAAAGAGACAGACUUGACAAAAAUAGAAACAACGUAUCAUAAGCAUAAAUAACAAAGUUCAUCAUAACCAAAAUGCCCUAACUAGAGUGAUCUUCGCUAGUCGAGGAGGAGGACGGUUUAAUUACAUCACAAAUAAAGUUUUACUGCGCAUAACUCAAAGUUUUGUCAUACAGAAAGUAUGGAGUAAACAGACACAUUGUCAUAUAUUGACAAUCACUCCAACAUGCCGUGCCAUCCAUCGAGGUCAGGGAGAUAGUCCCCGAGCUUAGUGAAAGGCUUCAUGUCGAGACGCUGAGAGGCUAUCCAUGUUCGGACGUCUUCCCACAACAUUUUUCCUCCGUAGAACAUCCCUGUUUUUCCGACGACCUCUUUCAUGAUGAUUUGGGCAAGUUCGCGUUGGAUGUUAUAGAACUCAGCUCGAAGUCGAUGAUCCUCGAUAUCUCCUAUGUCCUUUGCCCAUUGCAGAAUAUGGGCAUCGCCAGAUCUAGGUGACAUGUGAAGGUUCUGGUGAUCCCGUUUGUACUCCCGCAUGUGGUGUAGGACAUAGAAUCCACCAUUAAGAGAAUCGUUCGGUUGUUGGAUGCAGCAGAAGUCGGUCUUAUGGCUGAAGGCGGCCCUGCCGCCCCUUCUCUUCUUGUCCCUAACCUCUCCACCCCUUGCUUGGUAGUAAAACAUAGCACUGUCGAGAACAUCUUUGAUGUGGGUGUAAUCCUUUUUGUGAAUGUUAUUCGAUGAGUCCAAGUAAAGAGCAUGGGAGAAUCGGGGGUAGAGGAUGAUGAGGACGGCGCGCCCGCCGCUGCGCAAAAUAAGUACACCUCAAAUUAAUUAGCCUUCACCGUGCAAAUGAAUUAUUGAAAUCGAAGGAAGGAUAGCAGCGCGGAUGACUUACACGGGAUGAUAAGGCACGAGAAUCGCCUCCUUGUCCUUAUUGGCGAGCAUGAAACUAACGAUGUAAUUCCUCGCGUAUUCACGCUGCUCUGCACAGACUCCCAAGAAGCUCUCGUGCAUGUAGUACGGGUCAGUGACACAGAUAUGACGUAUCUGCUCAACCCCAAUGAUGUAGUUCAUGUGCAAGGCAUAAAGGCGGACAAAUGUAAAAUCCAGCUUCUUCACGUGAAACAUGUCGAAUAUGUAAUCGAAUCGGAGGAAGAACUUAUCCGCAGCGAAGCUGUCGACGUAUGACAUUUUCCGCGGAACGUUAUCCACGUAGAGUGGGUAUCCUGGAUCUUUCGAGGCAAUGAGGCAUUUCUCUACCCGUAGCACAUCAUCAUGAAGUCUCCUUAGAUCGCCGAAUCUGGCCCGUAGCGCUGUUGCAGGUAGGAUUGGUUGACCGGGGAUAUGCCAUUUAUCCGCAUCGGGGAUAUCUAGACGGUCCUGAAGCUGAGGCUGCUGAGGCGGCUGGAUCAUAGAAUCAACUUUUUUUCCUUUCCUCGCUCUCUUCCUAGACUUCUUUACUACCGGAAAGUCGUCAAUAACACAUUGAGACGGUAAUUCAGGCACCGACUCAUGAUGCUCAAACCCUGAGGAGGCGCCAGUAUAGACAUACUGUUCAGCGCCAUCGUCAUCCUCAUCCUCAUCCAUGGCGACGUCAUCAGCGACUAAUGGAGCCUCCUCCUUACCCCGUCCGCUAUCACCCAACCCGACACCCAACGCUAAUUGGGUAGGUGGGGUGUUGAUGUUCAUACCUUGCUGAGACUGCGUGCUCGUGGGUGUGCUCCCGGCCGCCUCCAGACGAAGCAGACUCUUUGGCCACAACAGGACCUACCCAUUGCAACAAUCACCAAGCCGCUGCGGUGUCUCCUCGUCAUCCACCAAUAGUGUUGGAGGAGGCAAAUUCUCGUGGCCCGGUUCGACACUGGCCAUGGAAACCUUGAAGACGUUUGGGGGAAUCGGCCGGCUGUGGAACAAUGGUUCCUUCGGCUUCAUUAUCGUCGCCUUCCCCAUGGCCACCUUCUGGUCCCCGAUGGUGUACAAUAUGGUGCGCGGGGUUUCGUCGGCCUGCAAAGAGAAGUCUGCGACGUGAGACAUUCGAAAGGCAACGAAAACGGGAGAUUAUACAUUUAUAUUGAAGGGGGCCGGUGUGACAGAUACCGUGAGGGCGUCGAGCUCAGCCAAAGACAAAGCACCGCCGAGCACGUCCGGUGCGGGAGCCGGUGCGGGAGCAGGUGCUCCCAAGAAGUCAGCAAGGGGAAAGUCCUCUGCAUUUUUUUCUGGAUUUUUCCUUGUCCAAGUGAUAACGCCCGUCACCAAGGAAGUAGACAAAUCUGCAACCGCCUGUUUUGCGGCAGCUACCGCUGUUGCGACUGUCUGAGAUGAUUUCUUCUCAACCGCAAUCUCAACCUUCUUGUCGAUGUUUUUUUCAGUUAACCUCCGUCUUUCCUUUCUCUCCUCUGUGGUCUCCCGGUAGUACUUCUUCCACGUGGCGCCGUCUCCGACACCGUGCACGCGUCCAUACGAUGGUCGAGUAUCCAUCGGUUGUCGUUUCAAUAUGUUCAACGUCCGGUUGAAUGGAGUGUCCCACUUGGGCCUCGCCAAUGCCUCAGACGGCGAGUCGUUUUCGACCGCAAUCCGGUGCUGCUCUCUCUGCAAAAGGCACAAGGAUCGUUUACAAAUAUGACUAACGUGUGCAGUCGAAUUGAUCAGAAACUAAAAUUACCAGCAGUCUCAUGAACUCCGUAAUGACCGGUGUUGUCUCAUAAACCUUCUUCACUGGGUCCCAACGGUGCCGAGCCCUCAGGACGUCACGCUCCUGCGGGACAGUGAAAUCCGCCAAGGGGUCUGGGAUGCCCAGACUCGCGGCUUCCGCGUCCUCCUUGGCCCAUUUGGACCUCUUUCCGCCGUAACCACGCUUCCGAGGUGGUGGCUCCCAAUGUUCCUCUUUUGAAGCCCCUUCAUGUACUUAGACUUUUUUUGGCAGCUUCGGCCUCGCAAGCCUCCUUGAAUAUUUGAAACUGCUCUUCCGUGAUUGUCAGAUUAUCCUUUACAAUCUCGGAGUAGGGUUCCCCGUCGUUGAUCUUUGCUUUCACUCAAUUUUUCCAGGCGGCCAACGCGUCGCUAAACUUGGUCAUGGCGUGUUUGUUUAUCUUCUUCAUUGCGGGGUCCUCGUCUGGAUCUUCAUAAUCCUUCUCAUUCCGGCCCGGGAACAAGAAUAUCUGGUGAAACUUCUUUAGAAGGGAGCUCCUCAUAUUUUCUAUCUUCUAUAGUUUCUCAUCAUUGAUGGUGGCGGUUGUCCGUAUGAUGCAGCCUAUUUGAUUGCCGUAGCACGCGCGCGCUUCCUCGGGCGCCUUUGGCUCAAAAUUGCCGUCGUCCACCUCUGUGACCACCAGUCUAGUAGUCCUGAGUUUGUUAGGAACCCGUUGCUUCUUUGCGUUCGGUUCUACACCAGCUCCGCUCCCCGAGACAGCACCGGUCUCAGCGCCGCUCUCGAUGCCGGUCUGAAUCUCAGCGCCGGUCUCAGUCUCAGCACCGGUCUGCGUGUCGGUCUCAGUCCCCGAUGCCACUGGUGGGCCCAGCAACAACAUCGGUUGAUCGUCGGUAAGGCUAAAAUAUUCAUCUGCCACCAGGUAGACGUCGUCGCAAUCACCAGAACCCUGUCCUUCAUCGUUGCUAGCCAUGUUUCCUAUCAUUAAAUCUAGUCAAUUAAUUCUAGACCUAAUAAAAUGAAUAAUGACAUAAAAAAGGACUAUUGUUUUGCAGGAAUGUUGACUCCUUCCUGGUGCGGAAAAUCCCGGCACUCGAUAUGUCCUAGUUUGUAGCACAAGUCAUGCCGAAAUUCACGGAAAAUUUUGGCAUGGCCUUUGCUAAAAAGUGGACAAAUCGAGAACCUGAAAUUUGUCGGAACAGAAAUGAAUCAACAUUCCGGCAAAACAUAGGCCACUCAGCAUCAUUCCCUGGAAACAACAAAGCCACUUGGGCACAAUCGAACAACUUCAAUGAAAAGAUAUAACAUGAGCAAACACUAUUGAGGAAUUUGCAUAUAACAUGGCCACUUCAAUGAAAAGAUAUAAUCAACAAUAACGGAAUAUGCAAAUGAACAUCAAUGACAUAUAGCUACUGUUCUGUUUGACCAAGUUUUUGAAAAGAAAAACAAUUCUGUUUUUUGUUUAUAGCUAAAUGCCAUAGCUACUAUUUUUUAUUUAUAGCUAAAUACUUUUGUUUUUUGUCUAAAGCUAAAAGUCUAGGAACUACAUUUUCUCUAACCCUUUUGACCUCACCAGAAUUUUCACAGCAAGACCUUAGUACCUACACCCAAUUUCUUCAAAAAUAUUCAGGUCCAUAGUCCAAAUAAUUCAAAUUUCAUUUGAAUGAAAUUUGGAACAAAUUCAGGUCCGUAGUCAAAAUAUUUUUUUAUAGCUAAGUGUUUUUUGUUUAUACCCUCUGUUAAUUUAAAUCUAAAUGCUACUAUUAUUUAUAUACCCUCUAUUAGUUUAAAGCUAAAUGGAAUUACUGUUUAGGAAUUUUCAUAAAAAUUGCCCUAGCUAAUUUCCUAAAAAAAUUGCAAAUCAUUUUUCCUAAAUGCUAUAAAAUGCCUACUGCCCUAAAAAAAUCUAGGGUUCAUAUGAACACCUAGGGUUCAUAUGAACAUCAACACAGUAUCAACAUAUAUAUAUAUAAUUGCCCUAGCAGAGAGAAAUAGGAGGGUAGGGACAGGAGAGGCAUAGCCUUACGGUCGGCGUUGAGGGCAGGCUCUGGCUCGGGCAGCGGCGGUGAGGUCAAGGGCGGCGGCGGCGAGCUCGAGGGAGGCGACAGUGAGGUCGACGGUGACAGCCUCGGGUGGCGGCUGUGAGGUCGAGGGGGCGGCCUCGGGCGGCGGCCUCGGGCGGCGGCAGUGUGGUCAAAGGCGGCGGGCGGCGGCGGUGUGGUCGAAGGCGGCCUCCGGCGGUGGCGGUGUGGUCGAAGGCGCGCGGCAGGGCAACGGCGGCGAUGAAGCAGUUGGGGGACAGGGGGGAGUAGAGAGGGGGGAAAGGACUUAGCAAAAUUUUGAGCCAGGGCCGCCGGGAUUUGAGUCAAACUAGCAGCAGCGCGUUUUGACGAAACGCGCUAUAGCUAAGAUAGCUAUAGCGUGUUCCAGAGAAAUGCGCUACAGCUAACCCUUUCUGUUUUCUUUCUCUUUUUAUUUUGUUUUCUUUACAUUUUCUUUUUUUCAUUUCUCCUUUUUCUAUUUCUUUCAUUUUCAUUUACUUUUCUACUUAAUUUUCUAUUUAUUUUCCUUUACAUAGCAGUAGCGCUGUAAAGAAGAAACGCGCUGCUACAAUGUUUUUAACAGUAGCGUGCUUCUGGGAGAAGCGCUGCUACUAUUCCUAGCCUACCGGCACCAGUGAGAGAAUUUUAGUAGUAGCGCUUUUUUGUGGAGAAGCGCUACUACUAAAAUAAUGAUUGUAGCGUGGUUUUGCAACAAGCGCUACUACUAAGUAGCGCUAGCGCCGAGUUUUGACCAACGCUACUGCUAUACCUCUGUGUAUAGCAUUUUCCCUAGUAGUGAUACUCUCCUCUCAGUUGACCAACAGCUUGUCUUCCACAUCUAAUUCACGGGAUCUCCGAUCACAAAGAAUGGGUUACCACUGUGGACACCUCAUAUUGUGGGUCUCAUUCCCAUCUCCAUCGAUGCAUUAUCUAUCACAUUACGUGAUAGACCCUUAGUAAAAGGAUCUGCCAGAUUUUUAGACGUUUGGAUAUAAUCCAAUGCAAUAACUCUCGAGUUUUUCAUUUUUCUGACAGACUUUAACCUUCUCUGAACGUGUCUUGAUGACUUCAUGUUAUCCUUUGAGCUGCUCACUUUAGUGAUCACAGUUUGAUUGUCACAGUUCAUCCGGAUACCCGGUACAGGUUUCUCAACUACCGGUAAGUCAUUCAAGAGCCGACGAAGCCAAUCUGCUUCGACCGUAGUUGUAUCUAGUGCUGUGAGUUCUGCUUCCAUUGUUGACCUCGUUAAAAUGGUCUGCUUGCAAGACUUCCAAGAAACAGCGCCACCUCCAUGAGUGAAUACAUAACCGCUCGUGGCCUUUAUCUCAUCAACAUCUGAGAUCCAGUCUGAGUCAAUAUACCCUUCAAGCACCUUUGGAUGCCUAGUGUAGUGAAUUCCAUAAUUUGCAGUGCUUUCAAAUAACGCAAAACUCUCUCUAGAGCUUUCCAAUGCACAUCUCCUGGUUUUGAGACAAACCGGCUCAGUUAGCUAACAGCAAAAGAGAUGUCAGGUCUCGUAGCACUGGCUAAGUACAUAAGCGAGCCAAUAAUGUGUGAAUAUUCCAAUUGGUCUCUAGCAAUUCUUCGAUUCUUUCGAAGCAACACACUAGCAUCAUAUGGUCUUGGAGAGGGCUUGCAGUCACUGUAGCCAAAGCGACUCAAGAUCUUUUCCCCAUAGUGAGACGGAAGCAAUGUAAUCCCACCAUCAUCAUCUCUCAACAACUUGAUGUUCAGAAUGACGUCAGCCACUCCUAAAUCCUUCUUCUCAAAACAGCGAGAUAGGAAAUCCUUGACCUCCUUAAGAACAUUUAGAUUUGUUCCGAAAAUCAGUAUGUCAUCAACAUACAAGCAAAGCAUAACUCCCUCGCCCCCACCAUGGCGAUAGUACACACAUUUGUUAGCUUCGUUCACAACAAAGCCUGCAGCUGUUAAAGUUCUUUCGAACUUCUCAUGCCACUGUUUGGGUGCUUGCUUGAGUCCAUACAAAGACUUCAGCAACUUGCACACUUUCCCUUCCUAACCAUCUAUUACAAACCCAUCUGGUUGUUCCAUAUAAAUUUCCUCAUCCAACUCUCCAUUUAGGAAAGCAGUCUUAACAUCCAUUUGAUGAACGAGAAGACCAUGUGAGGCAGCUAGUGAAAGUUUAACUCGAAUAGUGGUCAGUCGAGCCACAGGUGAGUAAGUAUCAAAGAAGUCUUCACCUUCCUUUUAGGUAUAACCCUUUGCCACGAGCUGAGCCUUGUACUUUUCAAUAGUACCAUCAGGCCUAAGUUUCUUCUUGAAUACCCAUUUGCAUCCUAUAGGUUUGCACCAUAAGGACGAUCAGUUAUCUCCCAAGUUUCAUCCGCCAAGAUGGAAUCCAUCUCGCUACGAACCGCUUCCUUCCAGUAGUCAGCAUCUUCCGAUGCAUAGGCCUCCAAAAUAGAACUGGGAGUGUCAUCUAUGAGAUACACAAGAAAAUCAUCACCCAAGGACUUUGCUGUCCUCUGUCUCUUACUCCUAGUAGGAACUUCAUUGUUCUCCUCCACAGGCCUUUCAAAGUGUUCCAUCGAAAUGGCAGGUUCAGUAAUUGUAACUGGUUCCUGAUUCGAUGAACUAGGCAUCUCCUGAUUAGAUGAGGUAGCCAUAUCCUUCAUGGGAAAGAUAUCUUCAAAGAAAGUCGCAUCAUUCGACUCCAUGAUCGUACUGACAUGCAUGUCAGAUACCUCAGAUUUUACAACCAAGAAUAUAUAGCCAAUGCUAUGAAAAGCAUAUCCCAGGAAAACACAAUCCACAGUCUUUGGUCCAAGCUUCCGCUUCUUUGGAAUUGGAACAUUGACUUUCGCCAAGCAACCCCAUGUUCGCAGAUAAGAGAGUCUUAACCUUUUCUUCUCCCAUUCCUCGAAUGGAGUUAUCUCUUUGUUCUUUGUGGGAACUCGAUUUAGGACAUGACAUGCUGUCAAUAUCGUCUCCCCCCACCAUGCCUUGGAGAGACCCGAUGUGCAUAACAUGGCGUUAACGAAAUCAGUUAGAGUACGGUUCUUUCUUUCGGCCACCCCAUUUGACUGAGGUGAGUAGGGAGGCGUCCUCUCAUGGAUUAUACCAUGUUCCGCACAAAAAGCAUCAAAUUCAUUGGAAAAAUACUCUCCACCACGGUCAGACCUAAGCCUCUUGAUUUUUCGAUCAAGUUGGUUUUCCACUUCAGCUUUAUAGAUCUUGAAAAAGUUCAAAGCCUCAUCCUUAGAUUUCAGAAGAUACACAUGGCAGUAUCUAGUGGAGUCGUCAAUUAACGUCAUGAAAUAUUUCUUUCCACCUUUUGUCAAAACACCAUUCAUUUCACAUAGAUCUGAAUGUAUAAGUUCUAGUGGUGCAAGAUUUCUCGUCUCCGCAGUCACGUGAGACUUACGAGGUUGCUUAGCUUGCACACACACUUGACACUUAGAUCCUUGACAGUGGUGAAACUAGGGAUUAAGUUCAACUUCGCUAGUCGCGACAUGCAACCAAAGUUAACAUGACAAAGACGUGAAUGCCACACAUUUGAUUCACUAUUGUUGCAAAUAUGAUUAACAACUUUAUUGCAAAUGUCUGAUAAGGAUAAACGAAACAGGCCUCCUGACUCAUAGCCUUUACCAACAAAGGUCCCAUACUUGGAUAUUACAAAUUUAUUCGACUCAAAGACAAGCUUAUAGCCAUCUCUACACAGAAGAGAUCCGCUAACAAGAUUUUUAUUGACGGAGGGGACAUAAUGCACGUUCUUCAGCCGCACGAUCUUCCCUGAAGUAAACUUCAGAUCAACCAUGCCAACACCACGAACAGAAGCACUUGAACUGUUGCCCAUCAGCACGGUUGAAGUCCCUGCGGUCUGAUAAGAUGAAAACAUGGAAAUAUCACCGUAUACAUGCACAUUAGCACCCAUGUCAAUCAACCAACCAGGAGAAUGACAUACUGAAAGAAUAGUGGGAAAUAUACCAUACCCAACAUCUUUCAUGUCAAUGUCUCCGAUGACAACAUUAGCGGUCUUGCCGCCUUUCCCAGGAUGACGCUUGUCAUAGCGAUUAGGACAACUAGGAGCCCAAUGAUCAGGAUCUCCAAACACAUGACAAGCACCUUUCUUAUUGUCAUUCUUCUUCUUGAAGUUCAUGUGCUGCACAGCCUUGUUCUUCCCAUCGAACUUUGCUUUACCAUCAAACUUGCCCUUGUUCUUGAACUUGUGGGACUGGAAGUUCUUCUUCUGUACCAGAUUGGCACUAGAUCCUCCCUCAAUACCUCGAGCACAUGUGUCCUUUGCUCUCGCCUUUUCUUCCACAUAAGAGUACCAAUGAGAUCCGGGAUGGAAAACUCCUGUCUCUUAUGCUUCAGUGAGGUAGCAAAGUUCCUCCAUGAAGGAGGAAGCUUAGUGAUGAUACCCCCGGCAACAAACUUGUCCGGUAAGAUACAAUUGAAGUGCUCAAGUUCUCUAGCAAAAGACUGUAUCUCAUGAGCCUGCUCAACCACGGAGCGCUCUUCAGUCAUCCUGUAAUCAUAGAAUUAUUCCAUGAUGUACAGCUCAGUGCCGGCAUCCGAGACCCCAAACUUGGCCUCGAGUGUGUCCCACAUAUCUUUUCAUUGUCAAUUGACGCAUAAGCAUCAACUAUGUUCUCACCAAGAACACUCAAAAGAGCAGCCUUAAACAAGGUAUCCAUUUUCUGGAAAGCUUGUGCCUGUUGGGCAUCUUGCUCUCCUUCGGGUUUGCCAAGAGUGGCAUCAUAGAAACUCAUGGUUUGAAACCAUAAGACUGCUCUCACACGCCACUUCUUAUAGUGGAUACCCUCAAACAUAGGAGGUCUCAUGGAAGCAGCAAAAUCACUCGGGGUAAAUUGCCUAUAAUAAGGUUUUUGGAUUGUUGGAAAUAUGAGCAAUUUACCGAAUGAUUUUAUUAACAAAAAUACUAGAUAAAGCAUGACUAAAAUAGCAAAUAUAAAGCAAGUCAUGCAGUCUGACAGAGAGAAGGUAAACAUCGUCUGCAUAUAUGAACUUGAGCUAAACACAGCUAGAACAGACACUAGAUGAAGUUGCUUAUACGAAACAGAACCUAACAUACGUAGGGCAGAAACUAGAGCCAAGAACUAUAGCAGGACUUCUAACAGAAAGGAGAAGAACACGUACGGCACAGCAGCAGCAGAAGCGCUGGACUUGGGGUUGGUGUCCUUGCCUGCCAUGUCAUCGAGGAGGUCAUGGACGUCAGGGAAGAAGUCGUCGUCGGGGAAGUAGUCGUUGGCGACCGGAUCGUCUGUGAUGAAGCAGCCAGUAGUCGCACUAAGUGCUCCCCAAAAACCUUAUCACCCUUCUCCCGUACAGGACUCAAAAGGUGCGGUCGCGAAAGCCUACUGUCCCGACGUGCGGUGCACGCCACAAGUCGGGAUGAGGAAGACAGCAGCAGCUCAGAGAUGGAACCGAUGGCGAGGGAAGGAGCAGUUCUGGUGCGUCUCUCUGAGAGGAGCGACCUCCCUUUUAUAGGCGCAAGAGAAGGAGGCGAGAGGCUGCGCCGGGAGCUGAAGGGAAUGCGGGAGACGAAACAAACAGGCAGCAGCCGAAGGGGCGCGCCGUUCGGAUUCAGUGUCCAGGCACAGAAAAAAAAUGUUUCAGCUUCCGAGUGACCUUUCGUAUACCCGUAGUGCGUGGCAAAAAUUUAGACAUCGGCUCGGCUCAUUCCCGCAACCCGCGGCGCGGCGCAUCGUGAUGAGGCGUGGUGAGGCGGGCGGCGGAGGAGGAGCACGCGUGGAUGUCCCUCUUGUUCUCAUGCUCAUACAAGUGGGGAAGGAGCCUCCCUUAUAAAGAGGUCCAACUCCCUCUAAACUAGCAAGGUGGGACUAAACUUUAGUUCCACCUCUUGCCUUGCACGAAUGGGCUGCGUGGGCCUCUAGGAUUUAUUAGGAAUUUCUAAAAUUGCUAUUGGGCUAGGCCCAAAUAGACAAAAAUUCCAGCAAUCCCCCACCAGAUCCCAGAGGCACACAAAAUUUGCCUUUGGUUCCAAAACACUGUUUUAUAUACUGGUACAGCAGUGGAGACUGUUAAGUUGAACUUCCACCUAGAACCCUAUGCUACACUAGUAAGCAACUUGAACAGUGGACUGGGCCUUGAACUGCAAGUUUUCUGCAAAUCUAGCUUCACAUAAGGCCUUGACCGAUACGUGGCUACCGUGGGUCUUCCCCGUGGGUGGAGCUUAUGCGUCAUACUCCGUGACCUUUCAUUAGUUUACUAGAGAGAACCCUACUCUCAUAGAUUGCGACGUUUAACAAUCAGACUCAUAUAGGUGCGUUCUUCAAAAGAUGUUCUGCAGGACAACAUCUCUGCUUCAAAAAGCCACUUAGAACACAUUAAGAUAUAAAUCAACCUGCCAUGCAGAUUAGGAGAGUAUUGCAUCUUCAUGGAGUGGUAUUUUAACAGUAUGGAUACUCUCCUCUCAGUUGACCAACAACUUGUCUUCCACAUCUAAUUCACGGGAUCUCCGAUCAUAAAGAAUAGGUUACCACUAUGAACAACUCAUAUUGUGGGUCUCAUUCCCAUCUCCCUCGAUGCAUUAUCUAUCACAUUACGUGAUAGACCGUUAGUAAAAGGAUCUGCCAGAUUUUUAGACGUUUGGAUAGAAUCCAAUGCAAUAACUCUGGAGUUUUUCAUUUUUCUGACAGACUUUAACCUUCUCUGAACGUGUCUUGAUGACUUCAUGUUAUCCUUUGAGUUGCUCACUUUAGUGAUCACAGUUUGAUUGUCACAGUUCAUCCGGAUACCCGGUAUAGGUUUCUCAACUACCGGUAAGUCAUUCAAGAGCCGACGAAGCCAAUCUGCUUCGACCGUACCUGUAUCUAGUGUUGUGAGUUCUGCUUCCAUUGUUGACCUCGUUAAGAUGGUCUGCUUGCAAGACUUCCAAGAAACAGCGCCACCUCCAUGAGUGAAUACAUAACCGCUCGUGGCCUUUAUCUCAUCAGCAUCUGAGAUCCAGUUUGAGUCACUAUACCCUUCAAGCACCUUUGGAUGCCAAGUGUAGUGAAUUCCAUAAUUUGCAGUGCCUUUUAAAUAACGCAAAACUCUCUCUAGAGCUUUCCAAUGCACAUCUCCUGGUUUUGAGACAAACCGGCUUAGUUAGCUAACAGCAAAAGAGAUGUCAGGUCUCGUAGCACUGGCUAAGUACAUAAGCGAGCCAAUAAUCUGUGAAUAUUUCAAUUGGUCUCUAGUGAUUCUUCGAUUCUUUCGAAGCAACACACUAGCAUCAUAUGGUGUUGGAGAGGGCUUGCAGUCACUGUAGCCAAAGCGGCUCAAGAUCUUUUCCACAUAGUGAGAUUGAAGCAAUGUAAUCCCACAAUCAUCAUCUCUCAAAAACUUGAUGUUCAGAAUGACAUCAGCCACUCCUAAAUCCUUCAUCUCAAAACAGCAAGAUAGGAAAUCCUUGACCUCCUUAAGAACAUUCAGAUCUGUUCCGAAAAUCAGUAUGUCAUCAACAUACAAGCAAAGCAUAACUCCCUUGCCCCCACCAUGGCGAUAGUACACACAUUUGUCAGCUUCGUUCACAACAAAGCCUGCAGCUAUUAAAGUUCUUUCGAACUUCUCAUGCCACUGUUUGGGUGCUUGCUUGAGUCCAUACAAAGACUUCAGCAACUUGCACACUUUCCCUUCCUGGCCAUCUAUUACAAACCCCUCUGGUUGUUCCAUAUAAAUUUCCUCAUCCAAAUCUCCAUUUAGGAAAGCAGUCUUAACAUCCAUUUGAUGAACGAGAAGACCAUGUGAGGCAGCUAGUGAAAGUAGACCUCGAAUAGUGGUCAGUCGAGCCACAGGUGAGUAAGUAUCAAAGAAGUCUUCACCUUCCUUUUGGUUAUAACCCUUUGCCACGAGCCGAGCCUUGUACUUUUCAUUAGUACCAUCAGGCCUAAGUUUCUUCUUGAAUACCCAUUUGCAUCCUAUAGGUUUGCACCCAUAAGGACGAUCAGUUAUCUCCCAAGUUUCAUUCGCCAAGAUGGAAUCCAUCUCGCUACGAAUCGCUUCCUUCCAGUAGUCAGCAUCUUCCGAUGCAUAGGCAUCCGAAAUAGAACUGGGAGUGUCAUCUAUGAGAUACACAAGAAAAUCAUCACCAAAGGACUUUGCUGUCCUCUGUCUCUUGCUCCUAGUAGGAACUUCAUUGUUCUCCUCCGCAGGACUUUCAAAGUGUUCCAUCGAAAUGGCAGGUUCAGUAAUUGUAACUGGUUCCUGAUUCGAUGAACUAGGCAUCUCCUAAUUAGAUGAGGUAGCCAUAUCCUUCAUGGGAAUGAUAUCUUCAAAGAAAGUCGCAUCAUUCGACUCCAUGAUCGUACCGACAUGCAUGUCAGAUACCUCAGAUUUUACAACCAAGAAUCUAUAGCCAAUGCUGUGAAAAGCAUAUCCCAGGAAAACACAAUCCACAGUCUUUGGUCCAAGCUUCCGCUUCUUUGGAAUUGGAACAUUGACUUUCGCCAAGCAACCGCAUGUUCGCAGAUAAGAGAGUUUUAACCUUUUCUUCUCCCAUUCCUCGAAUGGAGUUAUCUCUUUGUUCUUUGUGGGGACUCGAUUUAGGACAUGACAUGCUGUCAAUAUCGCCUCCCCCCACCAUGCCUUGGAGAGACCCGAUGUGGCGUUAACCAAAUCAGUUAGAGUACGGUUCUUUCUUUCGGCCACCCCAUUUGACUGAGGUGAGUAGGGAGGCGUCCCCUCAUGGAUUAUACCAUGUUCUGCACAAAAAGCAUCAAAUUCAUUGGAAAAAUACUCUCCACCACGGUCAGACCUAAGCCUCUUGAUUUUUCGAUCAAGUUGGUUUUCCACUUCAGCUUUAUAGAUCUUGAAAAAGUUCAAAGCCUCAUCCUUACAUUUCAGAAGAUACACAUGGCAGUAUCUAGUGGAGUCAUUAAUUAACGUCAUGCAAUAUUUCUUUCCACCUUUUGUCAAAACACCAUUCAUUUCACAUAGAUCUGAAUGUAUAAGUUCUAGUGGUGCAAGAUUUCUCGUCUCCGUAGUCACGUGAGACUUACGAGGUUGCUUAGCUUGCACACACACUUGACACUUAGAUCCUUGACAGUGGUGAAACUAGGGAUUAAGUUCAACUUCGCUAGUCGCGACAUGCAACCAAAGUUAACAUGACAAAGACGUGAAUGCCACACAUUUGAUUCACUAUUGUUGCAAAUAUGAUUAACAACUUUAUUGCAAACGUCUGAUAAGGAUAAACGAAACAGGCCUCCUGACUCAUAGCCUUUACCAACAAAGGUCCCAUACUUGGAUAUUACAAAUUUAUUCGACUCAAAGACAAGCUUAUAGCCAUCUCUACACAGAAGAGAUCCGCUAACAAGAUUUUUAUUGACGGAGGGGACAUAAUGCACGUUCUUCAGCCGCACGAUCUUCCCUGAAGUAAACUUCAGAUCAACCAUGCCAACACCACGAACAGAAGCACUUGAACUGUUGCCCAUCAGCACGGUUGAAGUCCCUGCGGUCUGAUAAGAUGAAAACAUGGAAAUAUCACCGCAUACAUGCACAUUAGCACCCAUGUCAAUCAACCAACCAGGAGAAUGACAUACUGAAAGAAUAGUGGGAAAUAUACCAUACCCAGCAUCUUUCAUGUCAAUGUCUCCGAUGACAACAUUAGCGGUCUUGCCGCCUUUCCCAGGAUGACGCUUGUCAUAGCGAUUAGGACAACUAGGAGCCCAAUGAUCAGGAUCUCCAAACACAUGACAAGCACCUUUCUUAUUGUCAUUCUUCUUCUUGAAGUUCAUGUGCUGCACAGCCUUGUUCUUCCCAUCGAACUUUGCUUUACCAUCAAACUUGCCCUUGUUCUUGAACUUGUGGGACUGGAAGUUCUUCUUCUGUACCAGAUUGGCACUAGAUCCUCCCUCAAUACCUCGAGCACGUGUGUCCUUUGCUCUCGCCUUUUCUUCCACAUAAGAGUACCAAUGAGAUCCGGGAUGGAAAACUCCUGUCUCUUAUGCUUCAGUAAGGUAGCAAAGUUCCUCCAUGAAGGAGGAAGCUUAGUGAUGAUACCCCCGGCAACAAACUUGUCCGGUAAGAUACAAUUGAAGUGCUCAAGUUCUCUAGCAAAAGACUGUAUCUCAUGAGCCUGCUCAACCACGGAGCGCUCUUCAGUCAUCCUGUAAUCAUAGAAUUAUUCCAUGAUGUACAGCUCAGUGCCGGCAUCCGAGACCCCAAACUUGGCCUCGAGUGUGUCCCACAUAUCUUUUCAUUGUCAAUUGAAGCAUAAGCAUCAACUAUGUUCUCACCAAGAACACUCAAAAGAGCAGCCUUAAACAAGGUAUCCAUUUUCUGGAAAGCUUGUGCCUGUUGGGCAUCUUGCUCUCCUUCAGGUUUGCCAAGAGUGGCAUCAUAGAAACUCAUGGUUUGAAACCAUAAGACUGCUCUCACACGCCACUUCUUAUAGUGGAUACCCUCAAACAUAGGAGGUCUCAUGGAAGCAGCAAAAUCACUCGGGGUAAAUUGCCUAUAAUAAGGUUUUUGGAUUGUUGGAAAUAUGAGCAAUUUACCGAAUGAUUUUAUUAACAAAAAUACUAGAUAAAGCAUGACUAAAAUAGCAAAUAUAAAGCAAGUCAUGUAGUCUGACAGAGAGAAGGUAAACAUCGUCUGCAUAUAUGAACUUGAGCUAAACACAGCUAGAACAGACACUAGAUGAAGUUGCUUAUACGAAACAGAACCUAACAUACGUAGGGCAGAAACUAGAGCCAAGAACUAUAGCAGGACUUCUAACAGAAAGGAGAAGAACACGUACGGCACAGCAGCAGCAGAAGCGCUGGACUUGGGGUUGGUGUCCUCGCCUGCCAUGUCAUCGAGGAGGUCAUGGACGUCAGGGAAGAAGUCGUCGUCGGGGAAGUAGUCGUCGGCGACCGGAUCGUCUGUGAUGAAGCAGCCAGUAGUCGCACUAAGCGCUCCCCAAAAACCUUAUCACCCUUCUCCCGUACAGGACUCAAAAGGGGCGGUCGCGAAAGCCUACUGUCCCGACGUGCGGUGCACGCCACAAGUCGGGAUGAGGAAGACAGCAGCAGCUCAGAGAUGGAACCGAUGGCGAGGGAAGGAGCAGUUCUGGUGCGUCUCUCUGAGAGGAGCGACCUCCCUUUUAUAGGCGCAAGAGAAGGAGGCGAGAGGCUGCGCCGGGAGCUGAAGGGAAUGCGGGAGACGAAACGAACAGGCAGCAGCCGAAGGGGCGCGCCGUUCGGAUUCAGUGUCCAGGCACAGAAAAAAAAUGUUUCAGCUUCCGAGUGACCUUUCGUAUACCCGUAGUGCGUGGCAAAAAUUUAGACAUCGGCUCGGCUCAUUCCCGCAACCCGCGGCGCGGCGCAUCGUGAUGAGGCGUGGUGAGGCGGGCGGCGGAGGAGGAGCACGCGUGGAUGUCCCUCUUGUUCUCAUGCUCAUACAAGUGGGGAAGGAGCCUCCCUUAUAAAGAGGUCCAACUCCCUCUAAACUAGCAAGGUGGGACUAAACUUUAGUUCCACCUCUUGCCUUGCACGAAUGGGCUGCGUGGGCCUCUAGGAUUUAUUAGGAAUUUCUAAAAUUGCUAUUGGGCUAGGCCCAAAUAGACAAAAAUUCCAGCAAUCCCCCACCAGAUCCCAGAGGCACACAAAAUUUGCCUUUGGUUCCAAAACACUGUUUUAUAUACUGGUACAGCAGUGGAGACUGUUAAGUUGAACUUCCACCUAGAACCCUAUGCUACACUAGUAAGCAACUUGAACAGUGGACUGGGCCUUGAACUGCAAGUUUUCUGCAAAUCUAGCUUCACAUAAGGCCUUGACCGAUACGUGGCUACCGUGGGUCUUCCCCGUGGGUGGAGCUUAUGCGUCAUACUCCGUGACCUUUCAUUAGUUUACUAGAGAGAACCCUACUCUCAUAGAUUGCGACGUUUAACAAUCAGACUCAUAUAGGUGCGUUCUUCAAAAGAUGUUCUGCAGGACAACAUCUCUGCUUCAAAAAGCCACUUAGAACACAUUAAGAUAUAAAUCAACCUGCCAUGCAGAUUAGGAGAGUAUUGCAUCUUCAUGGAGUGGUAUUUUAACAGUAUGGAUACUCUCCUCUCAGUUGACCAACAACUUGUCUUCCACAUCUAAUUCACGGGAUCUCCGAUCAUAAAGAAUAGGUUACCACUAUGAACAACUCAUAUUGUGGGUCUCAUUCCCAUCUCCCUCGAUGCAUUAUCUAUCACAUUACGUGAUAGACCCUUAGUAAAAGGAUCUGCCAGAUUUUUAGACGUUUGGAUAUAAUCCAAUGCAAUAACUCUGGAGUUUUUCAUUUUUCUGACAGACUUUAACCUUCUCUGAACGUGUCUUGAUGACUUCAUGUUAUCCUUUGAGUUGCUCACUUUAGUGAUCACAGUUUGAUUGUCACAGUUCAUCCGGAUACCCGGUACAGGUUUCUCAACUACCGGUAAGUCAUUCAAGAGCCGACGAAGCCAAUCUGCUUCGACCGUACCUGUAUCUAGUGUUGUGAGUUCUGCUUCCAUUGUUGACCUCAUUAAGAUGGUCUGCUUGCAAGACUUCCAAGAAACAGCGCCACCUCCAUGAGUGAAUACAUAACCGCUCGUGGCCUUUAUCUCAUCAGCAUCUGAGAUCCAGUUUGAGUCACUAUACCCUUCAAGCACCUUUGGAUGCCAAGUGUAGUGAAUUCCAUAAUUUGCAGUGCCUUUUAAAUAACGCAAAACUCUCUCUAGAGCUUUCCAAUGCACAUCUCCUGGUUUUGAGACAAACCGGCUUAGUUAGCUAAUAGCAAAAGAGAUGUCAGGUCUCGUAGCACUGGCUAAGUACAUAAGCGAGCCAAUAAUCUGUGAAUAUUUCAAUUGGUCUCUAGUGAUUCUUCGAUUCUUUCGAAGCAACACACUAGCAUCAUAUGGUCUUGGAGAGGGCUUGCAGUCACUGUAGCCAAAGCGGCUCAAGAUCUUUUCCACAUAGUGAGAUUGAAGCAAUGUAAUCCCACCAUCAUCAUCUCUCAACAACUUGAUGUUCAGAAUGACAUCAGCCACUCCUAAAUCCUUCAUCUCAAAACAGCAAGAUAGGAAAUCCUUGACCUCCUUAAGAACAUUCAGAUUUGUUCCGAAAAUCAGUAUGUCAUCAACAUACAAGCAAAGCAUAACUCCCUUGCCCCCACCAUGGCGAUAGUACACACAUUUGUCAGCUUCGUUCACAACAAAGCCUGCAGCUAUUAAAGUUCUUUCGAACUUCUCAUGCCACUGUUUGGGUGCUUGCUUGAGUCCAUACAAAGACUUCAGCAACUUGCACACUUUCCCUUCCUGGCCAUCUAUUACAAACCCCUCUGGUUGUUCCAUAUAAAUUUCCUCAUCCAAAUCUCCAUUUAGGAAAGCAGUCUUAACAUCCAUUUGAUGAACGAGAAGACCAUGUGAGGCAGCUAGUGAAAGUAGACCUCGAAUAGUGGUCAGUCGAGCCACAGGUGAGUAAGUAUCAAAGAAAUCUUCACCUUCCUUUUGGUUAUAACCCUUUGCCACGAGCCGAGCCUUGUACUUUUCAUUAGUACCAUCAGGCCUAAGUUUCUUCUUGAAUACCCAUUUGCAUCCUAUAGGUUUGCACCCAUAAGGACGAUCAGUUAUCUCCCAAGUUUCAUUCGCCAAGAUGGAAUCCAUCUCGCUACGAAUCGCUUCCUUCCAGUAGUCAGCAUCUUCCGAUGCAUAGGCAUCCGAAAUAGAACUGGGAGUGUCAUCUAUGAGAUACACAAGAAAAUCAUCACCAAAGGACUUUGCUGUCCUCUGUCUCUUGCUCCUAGUAGGAACUUCAUUGUUCUCCUCCGCAGGACUUUCAAAGUGUUCCAUCGAAAUGGCAGGUUCAGUAAUUGUAACUGGUUCCUGAUUCGAUGAACUAGGCAUCUCCUAAUUAGAUGAGGUAGCCAUAUCCUUCAUGGGAAUGAUAUCUUCAAAGAAAGUCGCAUCAUUCGACUCCAUGAUCGUACCGACAUGCAUGUCAGAUACCUCAGAUUUUACAACCAAGAAUCUAUAGCCAAUGCUGUGAAAAGCAUAUCCCAGGAAAACACAAUCCACAGUCUUUGGUCCAAGCUUCCGCUUCUUUGGAAUUGGAACAUUGACUUUCGCCAAGCAACCCCAUGUUCGCAGAUAAGAGAGUUUUAACCUUUUCUUCUCCCAUUCCUCGAAUGGAGUUAUCUCUUUGUUCUUUGUGGGGACUCGAUUUAGGACAUGACAUGCUGUCAAUAUCGCCUCCCCCCACCAUGCCUUGGAGAGACCCGAUGUGGCGUUAACCAAAUCAGUUAGAGUACGGUUCUUUCUUUCGGCCACCCCAUUUGACUGAGGUGAGUAGGGAGGCGUCCUCUCAUGGAUUAUACCAUGUUCUGCACAAAAAGCAUCAAAUUCAUUGGAAAAAUACUCUCCACCACAGUCAGACCUAAGCCUCUUGAUUUUUCGAUCAAGUUGGUUUUCCACUUCAGCUUUAUAGAUCUUGAAAAAGUUCAAAGCCUCAUCCUUACAUUUCAGAAGAUACACAUGGCAGUAUCUAGUGGAGUCAUUAAUUAACGUCAUGCAAUAUUUCUUUCCACCUUUUGUCAAAACACCAUUCAUUUCACAUAGAUCUGAAUGUAUAAGUUCUAGUGGUGCAAGAUUUCUCGUCUCCGCAGUCACGUGAGACUUACGAGGUUGCUUAGCUUGCACACACACUUGACACUUAGAUCCUUGACAGUGGUGAAACCAGGGAUUAAGUUCAACUUCGCUAGUCGCGACAUGCAACCAAAGUUAACAUGACAAAGACGUGAAUGCCACACAUUUGAUUCACUAUUGUUGCAAAUAUGAUUAACAACUUUAUUGCAAACGUCUGAUAAGGAUAAACGAAACAGGCCUCCUGACUCAUAGCCUUUACCAACAAAGGUCCCAUACUUGGAUAUUACAAAUUUAUUCGACUCAAAGACAAGCUUAUAGCCAUCUCUACACAGAAGAGAUCCGCUAACAAGAUUUUUAUUGACGGAGGGGACAUAAUGCAUGUUCUUCAGCCGCACGAUCUUCCCUGAAGUAAACUUCAGAUCAACCAUGCCAACACCACGAACAGAAGCACUUGAACUGUUGCCCAUCAGCACGGUUGAAGUCCCUGCGGUCUGAUAAGAUGAAAACAUGGAAAUAUCACCGCAUACAUGCACAUUAGCACCCAUGUCAAUCAACCAACCAGGAGAAUGACAUACUGAAAGAAUAGUGGGAAAUAUACCAUACCCAGCAUCUUUCAUGUCAAUGUGUCCGAUGACAACAUUAGCGGUCUUGCCGCCUUUCCCAGGAUGACGCUUGUCAUAGCGAUUAGGACAACUAGGAGCCCAAUGAUCAGGAUCUCCAAACACAUGACAAGCACCUUUCUUCUUGUCAUUCUUCUUCUUGAAGUUCAUGUGCUGCACAGCCUUGUUCUUCCCAUCGAACUUUGCUUUACCAUCAAACUUGCCCUUGUUCUUGAACUUGUGGGACUGAAAGUUCUUCUUCUGUACCAGAUUGGCACUAGAUCCUCCCUCAAUACCUCGGGCACGUGUGUCCUUUGCUCUCGCCUUUUCUUCCACAUAAGAGUACCAAUGAGAUCCGGGACGGAAAACUCCUGUCUCUUAUGCUUCAGUAAGGUAGCAAAGUUCCUCCAUGAAGGAGGAAGCUUAGUGAUGAUACCCCCGGCAACAAACUUGUCCGGUAAGAUACAAUUGAAGUUCUCAAGUUCUCUAGCAAAAGACUGUAUCUCAUGAGCCUGCUCAACCAUGGAGCGCUCUUCAGUCAUCCUGUAAUCAUAGAAUUAUUCCAUGAUGUACAGCUCAGUGCCGGCAUCCGAGACCCCAAACUUGGCCUCGAGUGUGUCCCACAUAUCUUUUCAUUGUCAAUUGACGCAUAAGCAUCAACUAUGUUCUCACCAAGAACACUCAAAAGAGCAGCCUUAAACAAGGUAUCCAUUUUCUGGAAAUCUUGUGCCUGUUGGGCAUCUUGCUCUCCUUCAGGUUUGCCAAGAGUGGCGUCAUAGAAACUCAUGGUUUGAAACCAUAAGACUGCUCUCACACGCCACCUCUUAUAGUGAAUACCCUCAAACAUAGGAGGUCUCAUGGAAGCAGCAAAAUCACUCAGGGUAAAUUGCCUAUAAUAAGGUUUUUGGAUUGUUGGAAAUAUGAGCAAUUUACCGAAUGAUUUUAUUAACAAAAAUACUAGAUAAAGCAUGACUAAAAUAGCAAAUAUAAAGCAAGUCAUGCAGUCUGAGAGAUAGAAGGUAAACAUCGUCUGCAUAUAUGAACUUGAGCUAAACACAUCUAGAACAGACACUAGAUGAAGUUGCUUAUACGAAACAGAACCUAACAUACGUAGGGCAAAAUCUAGAGCCAAGAACUGUAGCAGGACUUCUAACAGAAAGGAGAAGAACACGUACGGCACAGCAGCAGCAGAAGCGCUGGACUUGGGUUGCUGUCCUCGCCUGCCAUGUCAUCGAGGAGGUCAUGGACGUCAGGGAAGAAGUCGUCGUCGGCGGGGAAGUAGUCGUCGGCGACCGGAUCGUCUGUGAUGAAGCAGCCAGUAGUCGCACUGAGCACUCCCCAAAAACCUUAUCACCCUUCUCUCGUACAAGACUCAAAAGGUGCGGUCGCGAAAGCCUACUGUCCCGACGUGCGGUGCACGCCGCAAGUCGGGAUGAGGAAGACAGCAGCAGCUCAGAGAUGGAACCGAUGGCGAGGGAAGGAGCAGUUCUGGUGCGUCUCUCUGAGAGGAGCGACCUCCCUUUUAUAGGCGCAAGAGAAGGAGGCGAGAGGCUGCGCCGAGAGCUGAAGGGAAUGCGGGAGACGAAACGAACAGGCAGCAGCCGAAGGGGCGCACCAUUCGGAUUCAGUGUCCAGGCACAGAAAAAAAAUGUUUCAGCUUUCGAGUGACCUUUCGUAUACCCGUAGUGCGUGGCAAAAAUUUAGACAUCGGCUCGGCUCAUUCCCGCAACCCGCGGCGCGGCGCAUCGUGACGAGGCGUGGUGAGGCAGGCGGCGGAGGAGGAGCGCACGUGGAUGUCCCUCUUGUUCUCAUGCUCAUACAAGUGGGGAAGGAGCCUCCCUUAUAAAGAGGUCCAACUCCCUCUAAACUAGCAAGGUGGGACUAAACUUUAGUUCCACCUCUUGCCUUGCACGAAUGGGCUGCAUGGGCCUCUAGGAUUUAUUAGGAAUUUCUAAAAUUGCUAUUGGGCUAGGCCCAAAUAGACAAAAAUUCCAGCAAUCCCCCACCAGAUCCCAGAGGCACAAAAAAUUUGCCUUUGGUUCCAAAACACUGUUUUAUAUACUGGUACAGCAGUGGAGACUGUUAAGUUGAACUUCCACCUAGAACCCUAUGCUACACUAGUAAGCAACUUGAACAGUGGACUGGGCCUUGAACUGCAAGUUUUCUGCAAAUCUAGCUUCACAUAAAGCCUUGACCGAUACGUGGCUACCGUGGGUCUUCCCCGCGGGUGGAGCUUAUGCGUCAUACUCCAUGACCUUUCAUUAGUUUACUAGAGAGAACCCUACUCUCAUAGAUUGCGACGUUUAACAAUCAGACUCAUAUAGGUGCGUUCUUCAAAAGAUGUUCUGCAGGACAACAUCUCUGCUUCAAAAAGCCACUUAGAACACAUUAAGAUAUAAAUCAACCUGCCAUGCAGAUUAGGAGAGUAUUGCAUCUUCAUGGAGUGGUAUUUUAACAGUAUGGAUACUCUCCUCUCAGUUGACUAACAGCUUGUCUUCCACAUCUAAUUCACGGGAUCUCCGAUCAUAAAGAAUAGAUUACCACUGUGAACAACUCAUAUUGUGGGUCUCAUUCCCAUCUCCCUCGAUGCAUUAUCUAUCACAUUACGUGAUAGACCCUUAGUAAAAGGAUCUGCCAGAUUUUUAGACGUUUGGAUAUGAUCCAAUGCAAUAACUCUGGAGUUUUUCAUUUUUCUGACAGACUAACCUUCUCUGAACGUGUCUUGAUGACUUCAUGUUAUCCUUUGAGUUGCUCACUUUAGUGAUCACAGUUUGAUUGUCACAGUUCAUCCGGAUACCCGAUACAGGUUUCUCAACUACCGGUAAGUCAUUCAAGAGCAGACGAAGCCAAUCCGCUUCAACCGUACAUGUAUCUAGUGUUGUGAGUUCUACUUCCAUUGUUGACCUCGUUAGAUGGUCUGCUUGCAAGACUUCCAAGAAACAGCGCCACCUCCAUGAGUGAAUACAUAACCGCUCGUGGCCUUUAUCUCAUCAACAUCUGAGAUCCAGUUUGAGUUACUAUACCCUUCAAGCACCUUUGGAUGCCCAGUGUAGUGAAUUCCAUAAUUUGCAGUGCCUUUCAAAUAACGCAAAACUCUCUCUAGAGCUUUCCAAUGCACAUCUCCUGGUUUUGAGACAAACCGGCUUAGUUAGCUAACAGCAAAAGAGAUGUCAGGUCUCAUAGCACUGGCUAAGUACAUAAGCGAGCCAAUAAUCUGUGAAUAUUUCAAUUGGUCUCUAGCGAUUCUUCGAUUCUUUCGAAGCAACACACUAGCAUCAUAUGGUGUUGGAGAGGGCUUGCAGUCACUAUAGCCAAAGCGGCUCAAGAUCUUUUCCACAUAGUGAGAUUGAAGCAAUGUAAUCCCACCAUCAUCAUCUCUCAACAACUUGAUGUUCAGAAUGAGAUCAGCCACUCCUAAAUCCUUCAUCUCAAAACAGCAAGAUAGGAAAUCCUUGACCUCCUUAAGAACAUUCAGAUUUGUUCCGAAAAUCAGUAUGUCAUCAACAUACAAGCAAAGCAUAACUCCCUCGCCCCCACCAUGGCGAUAGUACACACAUUUGUCAGCUUCGUUCACAACAAAGCCUGCAGCUAUUAAAGUUCUUUCGAACUUCUCAUGCCACUGUUUGGGUGCUUGCUUGAGUCCAUACAAAGACUUCAGCAACUUGCACACUUUCCCUUCCUGGCCAUCUAUUACAAACCCCUCUGGUUGUUCCAUAUAAAUUUCCUCAUCCAAAUCUCCAUUUAGGAAAGCAGUCUUAACAUCCAUUUGAUGAACGAGAAGACCAUGUGAGGUAGCUAGUGAAAGUAGACCUCGAAUAGUGGUCAGUCGAGCCACAGGUGAGUAAGUAUCAAAGAAGUCUUCACCUUCCUUUUGGGUAUAACCCUUUUCCAUGAGCCAAGCCUUGUACUUUUCAUUAGUACCAUCAGGCCUAAGUUUCUUCUUGAAUACCCAUUUGCAUCCUAUAGGUUUGCACCCAUAAGGACGAUCAGUUAUCUCCCAAGUUUCAUUCGCCAAGAUGGAGUCCAUCUCGCUACGAAUCGCUUCCUUCCAGUAGUCAGCAUCUUCCGAUGCAUAGGCAUCCGAAAUAGAACUGGGAGUGUCAUCUAUGAGAUACACAAGAAAAUCAUCAGCAAAGGACUUUGCUGUCCUCUGUCUCUUGCUCCUAGUAGGAACUUCAUUGUUCUCCUCCGCAGGACUUUCAAAGUGUUCCAUCGAAAUGGCAGGUUCAGUAAUUGUAACUGGUUCCUGAUUCGAUGAACUAGGCAUCUCCUAAUUAGAUGAGGUAGCCAUAUCCUUCAUGGGAAUGAUAUCUUCAAAGAAAGUCGCAUCAUUCGACUCCAUGAUCGUACCGACAUGCAUGUCAGAUACCUCAGAUUUUACAACCAAGAAUCUAUAGCCAAUGCUGUGAAAAGCAUAUCCCAGGAAAACACAAUCAACAGUCUUUGGUCCAAGCUUCCGCUUCUUUGGAAUUGGAACAUUGACUUUCGCCAAGCAACCCCAUGUUCGCAGAUAAGAGAGUUUUAACCUUUUCUUCUCCCAUUCCUCGAAUGGAGUUAUCUCUUUGUUCUUUGUGGGGACUCGAUUUAGGACAUGACAUGCUGUCAAUAUCGCCUCCCCCCACCAUGCCUUGGAGAGACCCGAUGUGGCGUUAACCAAAUCAGUUAGAGUACGGUUCUUUCUUUCGGCCACCCCAUUUGACUGAGGUGAGUAGGGAUGCGUCCUCUCAUGGAUUAUACCUUGUUCUGCACAAAAAGCAUCAAAUUCAUUGGAAAAAUACUCUCCACCACGGUCAGACCUAAGCCUCUUGAUUUUUCGAUCAAGUUGGUUUUCCACUUCAGCUUUAUAGAUCUUGAAAAAGUUCAAAUCCUCAUCCUUACAUUUCAGAAGAUACACAUGGCAGUAUCUAGUGGAGUCGUUAAUUAACGUCAUGAAAUAUUUCUUUCCACGUUUUGUCAAAACACCAUUCAUUUCACAUAGAUCUGAAUGUAUAAGUUCUAGUGGUGCAAGAUUUCUCGUCUCCGCAGUCAUGUGAGACUUACGAGGUUGCUUAGCUUGCACACACACUUGACACUUAGAUCCCUUGACAGUGGUGAAACUAGGGAUUAAGUUCAACUUCGCUAGCCGCGACAUGCAACCAAAGUUAACAUGACAAAGACGUGAAUGCCACACAUUUGAUUCACUAUUGUUGCAAAUAUGAUUAACAACUUUAUUGCAAAUGUCUGAUAAGGAUAAACGAAACAGGCUUCCUGACUCAUAGCCUUUGCCAACAAAAGUUCCAUACUGGGAUAUUACAAAUUUAUUCGACUCAAAUACAAGCUUAUAGCCAUCUCUACACAGAAGAGAUCCGCUAACAAGAUUGUUAUUGACGGAGGGGACAUAAUGCACGUUCUUCAGCCGCACGAUCUUCCCCGAAGUAAACUUCAGAUCGACCAUGCCAACACCACGAACAGAAGCACUUGAACCGUUGCCCAUCAGCACGGUUGAAGUCCCUGCGGUCUGAUCAGAUGAAAACAUGGAAAUAUCACUGCAUACAUGCACAUUAGCACCCAUGUCAAUCAACCAAUCAGGAGAAUGACAUACUGAAAGAAUAGUGGGAAAUAUACCAUACCCAGCAUCUUUCAUGUCAAUGUCUCCGAUGACAACAUUAGCGGUCUUGCCGCCUUUCCCAGGAUGACGCUUGUCAUAGAGAUUAGGACAAAUAGGAGCCCAAUGAUCAGGCUCUCCACACACAUGACAAGCACCUUUCUUCUUGUCAUUCUUCUUCUUGAAGUUCGUGUGCUGCACAGCCUUGUUCUUCCCAUCGAACUUUGCUUUACCAUCAAACUUGCCCUUGUUCUAGAACUUGUGGGACUGGAAGUUCUUCUUCUGUACUAGAUUGGCACUAGAUCCUCCCUCAAUACCUCGAGCACGUGUGUCCUUUGCUCUCGCCUUUUCUUCCACAUCAAGAGUACCAAUGAGUUCCGGGACGGAAAACUCCUGUCUCUUAUGCUUCAGUAAGGUAGCAAAGUUCCUCCACGAAGGAGGAAGCUUAGUGAUGAUACCCCCGGCAACAAACUUGUCCGGUAAGAUACAAUUGAAGUGCUCAAGUUCUCUAGCAAAGGACUGUAUCUCAUGAUCCUGCUCAACCACGGAGCGCUCUUCAGUCAUCAUGUAAUCAUAGAAUUGCUCCAUGAUGUACAAUUCAGUGCCGGCAUCCGAGACCCCAAACUUGGCCUCAAGUGCGUCCCACAUAUCUUUUCUAUUGUCAAUUGACGCAUAAGCAUCAACUAUGUUCUCACCAAGAACACUCAAAAGAGCAGCCUUAAACAAGGUAUCCAUUUUCAGAAAAGCUUGUGCCUGUUGGGCAUCUUGCUCUCCUUCAGGUUUGCCAAGAGUGGCGUCAUAGCAACUCAUGGUUUGAAACCAUAAGACUGCUCUCACGCGCCACCUCUUAUAGUGGAUACCCUCAAACAUACGAGCUCUCAUGGAAGCAGCAAAACCACUCGGGGUAAAUUGCCUAUAAUAAGGUUUUUGGAUUGUUGGAAAUAUGAGCAAUUUACCGAAUGAUUUUAUUAACAAAAAUACUAGAUAAAGCAUGACUAAAAUAGCAAAUAUAAAACAAGUCAUGCAGUCUGACAGAGAGAAGGUAAACAUCGUCUGCAUAUAUGAACUUGAGCUAAACACAUCUAGAACAUACACUAGAUGAAGUUGCUUAUACGAAACAGAACCUAACAUACGUAGGGCAGAAACUAGAGCCAAGAACUGUAGCAGGACUUCUAACAGAAAGGAGAAGAACACGUACGGCAUAGCAGCAGCAGAAGCGCUGGACUUCGGGUCGGUGUCCUCGCCUGCCAUGUCGUCGAGGAGGUCGUGGACGUCGGGGAAGAAGUCGUCGUCGGGGAAGUAGUCGUCGGCGACCGGAUCGUCCGUGAUGAAGCAGCCAGUAGUCGCGCUGAGCGCUCCCCAAAAACCUUAUCACCCUUCUCCCGUACAGGACUCAAAAGGUGCGGUCUCGGAGGCCUACUAUCCCGACGUGCGGUGCACGCCGCAAGUCGGGAUGAGGAAGACAGCAGCAGCUCAGAGAUGGAACCGAUGGCGAGGGAAGGAGCAGUUCUGGUGCGUCUCUCUGAGAGGAGCGACCUCCCUUUUAUAGGCGCAAGAGAAGGAGGCGAGAGGCUGCGCCGGGAGCUGAAGGGAAUGCGGGAGACGAAACGAACAUGCAGCAGCCGAAGGGGCGCGCCUUCGGAUUCAGUGUCCAGGCACAGAAAAAAAUGUUUCAGCUUCCGAGUGACCUUUCGUAUACCCGUAGUGCGUGGCAAAAAUUUAGACAUCGGCUCGGCUCAUUCCCGCAACCCGCGGCGCGGCAUGACGAGGCGUGGUGAGGCGGGCGGCGGAGGAGGAGCGCGCGUGGAUGUCCCUCUUGUUCUCAUGCUCAUACAAGUGGAGAAGGAGCCUCCCUUAUAAAGAGGUCCAACUCCCUCUAAACUAGCAAGGUGGGACUAAACUUUAGUUCCACCUCUUGCCUUGCACGAAUGGGCUGCGUGGUCCUCUAGGAUUUAUUAGGAAUUUCUGAAACUGCUAUUGUGCUAGGCCCAAAUAGACAAAAAUUCCAGCAGUUUGUGUUCUUCAGGUCUCCACUUGCCAUGAUAUUGCGGCUGGGCUUCGGGUAUGUGUUACCACUGAUACAUCAUUCCAAACUACUAAUGAAUUGGUCUCUGAUGUCUUCUUCUCAAUUUUAACUAGGGCCUGCUUCUGUUUGCACCAAUUCGAGAUAGUGGUUGUGGAAUGCAGCAGCCAAGACAACAAGGUCAGGCUCGGCUUAGGUAUGAUGACAAACAAAAUUAGAUUCGGAUGGUUCCUUACAUCUUCCUCUCAGAAUCAAGAGUGAUAAUACUUUUUUGGUGCUCCGGCUUCUGCAGUUUCUGAAGAACUGAUUCGUUGUUCAGGCAUUUCAUGCAUUUGGAGUUCACAGGUAUCUAAGUUUCUCUGACUGUGUUUUCAAAUAAUUGAUACUUGACAUUAGGAUUUUUGGCUGAACAAAUCAUCUUAGACAUAAGUAGAACCCGGCAAAUUGUGAGACAGAGCUAAUUGAUACACAGUUUAGAAAAUAGAACUGAACAAUUCUUGGUAGUCACUAUUGAUUAGCUAUGUGCGUACCUUAAGUUCCUUACUACUUAUUUUAAUUGUUAGUACUUGAAGGUUUGAAUAAUUAUUAUUACCAAGUUACAUGUUGAUCACUACUUAUUAUGAAAAUGUAUGUCCAUGGUUUAAAGGAGCUUUAUUGUUUCAGUCUAUACUAAGUUAUUUGUCGGUUAUACUGGAGCUUAUAUUGUUCCCUCUUUGAUCUAGACAUCAAAUAUUCUAAGCUUCAUUUUUGUGAGCAAACGGUUCUAUGCUUCCUUUUUGUGAACAUUGCUCCAUAAAUAGUAGUGGCAUUUACUAUGCAGAUGAUACUGACAAAUUAUCAUACAAGUCCGCAUUAAUAUUCAGUCAGUAGGUUAUUGAAGAAGGCCGGAGAUCGCGUGGAGCACCAACAAUAACCUCAAGUAGAUGCAGCAGAGACAUGUGAUGAACUAUCAUAUGUUUCCUAAUCUGAAUGUUUGCUCCAAUCGCUUGAUUGUUUGAUCUGGUUUGUUGUGACAAUACAAUGAUUUUCUAUGUUCUUUUUGUGGUGCAAUCUCCGUUGAUUUGGAAAGAUGGGGACUUUCUGUUGAGCUAUUUCGAUCGGCCAUUGGCCAUAACAUUCCAAAUUCCUUAUUUUGUUUCCUCUUUUUCGCGGCUUCAUUUUACGUGUCUCACUAAAGGUGGGCAUGACUUGAAAAGGGAGGCAAACAAAACUGCCAAGAUGCAUCUCUUUUGCAGCAGAAGAAGAGGCACUGAUGAGAGGUGGAAAAGGAGGGGCAAAGAAGGAAGCCAUGGGCAUGUGCCGCCUACCGACCAUGAAUAUCAACAAUGACAAUGACGACUAGCUUGUGUGCGUGUGAGAGAGGGAGGGAGAGGGAGUCAAAACAAAAUGAUGUAUAUCUUUACUACAUUAUAAAAUGGGAUUUGGUGAGCUAUUUGUCCUUUAUGAUUCAUGAGAUUUUAAUUCUAUAGUGUUUUUUGCUCUUAAUAUAUUAUUGUGGUUAUAGAUUUAUCAUUGACACAAUAUAUGUAGAAACUUUUUUGAUCUAAAUAAGAAGAACAAAAGUUUACGGGAUGCUUUUUGAUCGUUCCCUUUACCUAGCUUCCAAUUUCUAUUGUCAGAAACACAUUUUUUUUGUUCCUAUAGGAAACAUAUGCAAAUAAAAGAUUUGCCGAAGCUUUUUGAGUCCCUGAUGCAUACUAAAUACAGUCCUAGAACAAUAUGCUUAUGCAUAAUAACAAGCUGGAAAAUUGCUCCAAAAUAACACUUAAAACAUAUAAAAGAACAAAAAAAUCCAUUCUGAAUUCUAAAAUGAUCUUUCAAUGUAUGCAGCAAACUGCUUCCUUUAUAAUCUGACAAAACUCGCAGGACUUAUCAUGACGCAUGAAAGGAUAUAGUAAACCAUCACACCGAAGCCGAGGUUGGCUUUGUUUCCUUAUUUUUGCGAGAAGGUGUCAUAGUUCUACUAUUUUGAUUAGCCAUCUAGAGGGAUGACAGUGCAUGCAAUCAUUUAAAUAAAAUAAUACAAAGAUGCUGCAUGAGUCAUCAAUUCAAACAAGAACUUGUUUCAUGUGAUUUUUUGUGUAAAGUGGAAACAAAUUAUUUUUAUAACAACUAAUUCGACAACACAAGUGCUACACCGUGAUCAGUAUAUGCAUAUGAUACGAUCUAGCUAUUUUCCUUUGCACGGGUGGUUUUUAUCAUGAGGUAGGAGGGUUCGUACAAGUCGACUAUCAGCUCUCAUGCAAUGCUUUAAAAAGAAAAACGAGAGGAAUUUGUGAAUUUUUGUAUAACAUUGCAAAUUAUAUGAAAAAACUUUUUAAUUUGUCAGAACUUUUAGGAGGGAGUGAGUGGCAAAUGUUGGAAGACAUUCAAAGUUAGGAUGAUGGGAAUGCCUAUGGCAAUUUGGAGAACUUGGAGAAAACAUAUGCGAACUUGAGCUAGGUAGCAAUGUAGAGCUUAAUUAAGCUAAAUGGUUCAUAUUCAUUUGUUAGUCCAUGAGUUCGAGAUGAUGGACUCAACAAUUGGAUAGAUUUGGAGGGAACACGAAUUUGGAGUAGUGUGACAACAUAGCGAAGUAAUGACACAAUGGUCGAAGGGCUGAAGUUGAGGGGCUUGUGAUAGAUCCAUUUGUUGGCCCGUGGCUGCGCACGGGCGUUCUACUAGUAAUCAUUGGUGGCUUCUUUGACCACCAGACGGCUUAUUGACUUCUUCCACUCGAGGAUCACCGUGGAGCAAUCCUUCUUCCCCUUCCUACAGAAGCACGCCAACCACAAACAAAUGCUCAAAAAGACCUUAGCAAAUGCCAUUGAACUAGAUUGUAGGCAAGAGGAAUCUUAUUAGUUGGUAGAUGUAGAUGUCGAGGCCUCAUCAUUGCUUGCCAGAGGCCUCAUGUGUAUGUCGUGCGUCCCACCAGAGGCCUCUUUUAAUUAGAGGAAGGGCGGUGCGGAGAAGACAUCAUUAGUCACCCUGGGAGAAGAAAGUUCGGUGGCGGUGCGUGUAAAGAGGAGACUUUGGUAGUUUCUGGUGGAGUUGUGGUAGCCGUAGGGACGACGAGAGUGAGAGAGGACUGGGGACGGAGGAGAGGUGAUGGAUGGAAAAAAAUUGGGUGAUUGAGGACGAAAACCAAGAUGAAAANNNNNNNNNNNNNNNNNNNNNNNNNNNNNNNNNNNNNNNNNNNNNNNNNNNNNNNNNNNNNNNNNNNNNNNNNNNNNNNNNNNNNNNNNNNNNNNNNNNNNNNNNNNNNNNNNNNNNNNNNNNNNNNNNNNNNNNNNNNNNNNNNNNNNNNNNNNNNNNNNNNNNNNNNNNNNNNNNNNNNNNNNNNNNNNNNNNNNNNNNNNNNNNNNNNNNNNNNNACUAGAUGUCUCUGUAGUGAAGUAAUAUGAGCAUAACUUAAUUGAUCAGUGUAAAACUUUGAAUUGGUUAAGUAUACUACACUAAAGUAAGUUGUAAAGCCUAAUUGCAAUUAUAUCUUUGAGGGCAAUGCUUAUGAGUUGCGUGACAAUCUUGUCUGUUCUGGAUCUUGCAUCUGAUUCUAAUUAAACAGUACAUGUUAGAUGUUUUUAAUGAGGUCCACGUUAGAUUUGAUUGUUAAUUUAUAGUGCGGGUGAAAGCGGAUUCUAUCCUUUUCGUCUGCCAUUUUUCCUUUCAUAAAAUGUGUCCAUGGAGUAAUUCUCCACAAAAACAAACUUAACUGGACAAAAUAUCCACGGCAAGUCGCAUAUCUUGUGCAACUGUUCACUGUUGAAAGCUUAUUGUGCCACUACCCAUCAUUGCAAGGAAAAAAUACAGAAGAUUUAUGUUCUACCAAAUACAUUCUUUUGUUCAGAUUUAGCCAGGUAUGAUCCUGGUUGCGUCAGCCAUUAGAGUACAUUGCGAUCGACUAGACAGUUUCAGUGCUCAUCUUGCCUACUUUUGCAGCACUAGAUUUGCGAUCAGGUAGAUAAACACAACAACAAAGGAGACGACAGAUGCCAGCGGCCCAUAUUUCCCAAGAAUUCUCUGUGGGUUAAUUCCAUAAUACGGAUUGAAUUCUCUACUGGCACGGAAUCCAGCAACAAGGGCCACACCAUGCUGACACUAGCAGCUAUGUGUUGCUCCCGUGGGCAAGACCUGCCCAAGGAGGAUAGGUAAGAGAAAUGGCUGAAGACACACCAACACCUGGCAACAUGUAGGUUCAUAUUUCACCCCCACCCUUGGAUAAAACCGUGAAUCAUUUGAAACAUAUUAAAACUUGAGUGCAUUUUUUAUUUUGGAGAAAUAUAUAUGCUCACAAGAGCUUAGGAGUCACACGUCGGUUCUAGGUAAUUAAACAAACAAGAACAUUCACUUGUUGAGAAAUUUUACCACCUCUUCUUGCUUCUUUUAUGACACUAGAACUUGACGGGCUUUGGGUCACCUCCUUUUCGGUUUAUAAGGCUUGCGCGUAUCUCUAGGUUGACAAAUAGACCAACUUAAUACAAGUUGUAUAUCACAAAAAAUAUAUAAUUAGGAACUUCAAAUCGUAUACUUUCUAAUGGUAUAAUUUUUAGACUAUACAACUCAUGUUAUGUUGGUCAAGUUAUAGAUCCAGGGAUAUGUACAAGCCUUAUAAACCGGAAAGGAGGUAUGUUAGUAGAUAAACAUGCCAAUUAAGGACUUCUUGACAAGUCUAUGCAGAUUAAAGGUAUGUUAGUAGAUGGUGUAAUAAAUACAUGCUUUUAGCUAUCUAAGGAUACAAAUAUGCCACUAUUUACUUUGUAAAUGCUCGAAAUCAUUCUCAGAAAUUUUAGUAACAACAGUUGUCAUGAACAACUUGGACUAAAUGCAUCAAAUGUUACAAAUAAUACAUAAAAACAUUCAAAUGUACUUAGAGUGAAUCAAUUAAGACGUGUAAAGCUAGUACUAAUCCAAUAUUUCUUAAUGACUUGCAUAUACUUACAACACUUGACGUAAAGAGUGAAUCAAUUAAGACGUGCAAAGCCAGUACUAAUCCAAUUUUAUUAAUAGCUUCCACAAAAUUACAACACGUGGCGUAAAAAGGGAAUAUGAUGAGUCAUGUAUUGAUAACGUGUACAACAUUACUACCCUUGACAUAAAAAGAGAAGUUGAUGAGUCAUGUCUUAAUAACGUGUACAACAUUACUAUCAGCUUGUUCAUCUUACCAUCAUACUAUACAACACUAUAAGUUAGUUUAAAAAAGAAUAAGAGUCCAGAACAAACAUCACAAUACUAGCCUGAUCUAUAUUAACAACAUGCACAAGGACACAAAUUUAGUUCCCCGCAAGCUAUGAAGAUUUGGUUUAUGUCUAACAACUUGUACAAUAUGACAAACUUAGAUCCAAAAGGAAUGCAAACCAGAUAAUUGUAAUGCAAUCCAGAUAAUUAUUUGACAUGCAAAGUGAAUAAGAUGAGUCACUACCAAUUAUCAAGUUUUCCUCACUCUUAGAUGAUAUGAACCAUAAAAAGGCAACUUUGAUGAUCACUCCAUAAUUACGUUUGUAUGUAGUGCCACCAAACACAACACACAAAAUAAUUAGUUCGAUAAGCAUCGAAUCACUUUAAAAAGGAAAGCAAAAAUGGAAAGAAACCUAACCAUGGGAGCUAUAAAAAGGCCUGCAAUAUGUAGACUCCAUACCAUCAUCCAUCCUUCACACAACUAGAGCACAAGUAUCAAAUCCAAGUACGUAGUGGUUAACGCAAAUUAACCAUGAAGACCUUACUCAUCCUAACAAUCCUUGUGAUGGCAGUAACCAUCGGCACCGCCAAUAUGCAGGUCGACCCUAGCGGCCAAGUACAAUGGCCACAACAACAACCAGUCCUGCUGCCUCAGCAACCAUUCUCCCAGCAACCACAACAAACAUUUCCCCAACCCCAACAAACAUUCCCCCAUCAACCACAACAACAAUUUCCCCAGCCUCAACAACCACAACAACAAUUUCUCCAGCCACAACAACCAUUCCCCCAACAACCACAACAACCAUAUCCCCAGCAACCACAACAACCAUUCCCCCAGACUCAACAACCCCAACAACUAUUUCCCCAGUCCCAGCAACCACAACAACCAUAUCCCCAGCAACCACAACAACCAUUCCCCCAGACUCAACAACCCCAACAACAAUUUCCCCAAUCCCAGCAACCACAAUAACCAUUUCCCCAACCCCAACAACCGCAACAAUCAUUCCCCCAGCAACAACCAUCGUUCAUUCAGCCAUCUCUACAACAACAGCUGAACCCAUGCAAGAAUUUACUCUUGCAGCAAUGCAGACCUGUGUCAUUGGUCUCAUCCCUCUGGUCAAUGAUCUGGCCACAAAGCGCUUGCCAAGUGAUGAGGCAACAAUGCUGCCAACAACUAGCACAGAUUCCUCAGCAGCUCCAGUGUGCAGCCAUCCAUAGCGUCGUGCAUUCCAUCAGCAUGUAGCAAGAACAACAACAACAACAACAACAACAACAACAACAACAACAACAACAACAACAACAACAACAACAACAACAACAACAACAACAACAACAACAACAAGGCAUGCGUAUCCUGCUGCCACUAUAUCAGCAACAACAGGUGGGUCAAGGUACUCUCGUCCAGGGCCAGGGCAUCAUCCAACCCCAACAACCAGCUCAAUUGGAGGCGAUCAGGUCAUUGGUGUUGCAAACUCUUCCAACCAUGUGCAACGUGUAUGUCCCACCUGAGUGCUCUAUCAUCAAGGCACCAUUUGCCAGCAUAGUCACCGGAAUUGGUGGCCAAUGAAAAACGCAAGAGCCAUACUAAUAGGUAGAUGGAUCAUCGUUGCUUAGCUGAUUUACCAAUCGAUGUAACGAUGCCAAAUAAACUGGUGUGCACCAUCAUGUGUCAUCCUGACCAGUGCUAGUUCAAGAUUGGGAAUAAAAGAGAAGAACGUUCAUGUUUGCCAACAUUGCUUGUCAUUGUUCCAUUCACUGUGUAUUUAUAUUUUCAUCCUGAACUGCAAUUCUAGUCUUACACAUCAAUAGCUAGUUGCUCAUGUCGGCAGGUUCCUAUGUAAUCUAAUGAUUAAUGGUCGACCUAUUAAUCUAGUUUAUCGGCCGAUUGAUCUAUUAAUUGGUGCUCCCAAGCCGACCGAGCAGCCAUCAGUUACCGAUUUCCUGAACAUUGCACACAAUAAUAAUUCAACGUAUUUCAAUGUCUAGAAGUAAAAGGGCCAUAUAAGCAGUAAAACAAGCGCCUGAUUAGAAACCAUCCAUCACUUUAAAUUAAUCUAGAUAUUUUUGUGUUGGUGCAAUUUUGAGUUGAUGGCACCGACACAUUCUUGAAAGAAAUUCUACAGGGAACUCCAAAGAGGUGAAAAUCAAACUAAAGUUGCCACAUGGUAAAAGAUAAAUCAUGCGGCAAGCAAGAGGAAAUAUUGAGUCACAAUAGCUAGCGCCAAACAUGUAAUUAAACUAUUCUUAUGGUUUCUUGCAAAGAGGGAAGUAAUUUACAGAUGACAAACAAAACGUAAUUAGCAUUAGUUCUAAUUGAUUGUAGAAAUUUCUUUUAUCGGUAGAAUAACUCAGUUGUUAUUUAUUUAAACAUGCACUGUGAUAUUGACUUAUCUCAAUCUAGGAACACAAAGCAAAUACUACAUUUGCUGCUAUGGACUCCAAACAGAUGAGAAAUCAUUAUGUGUAGAAGUUCCUUAGAAGGAUAUUUUGGCCUAAACAAAUUUAACAUUGUACUCGUGUCUUACAUAGUUAAAGCUGAAAAAUCAACAUAACCAGUGGACACUUUGUAAGACAAGUGUGGGAAACAAAUAGUAGGAUAUAAAUUUGAGUAGAAUGUUUGCUCAAAUGUUGAAAAAAUAACCCAGCAAACUAAAACUCAGCAAAACAGUCUAUUCUACCUUAUACGGACUGUCACAAUGAUAAUGCUAUGUUUUUUUGGAAUACAAAUUCAAAAAAAAUCAGCCACAGAUCCCUGAGCCCAUCCAACAGGAGAGCUUCAAUUGAAAGAAGUAUUAGUUCGAUUAGACCAUGUAGUACCUAAAGGAGGAUGGUGGCCCCAUGGAACAACUCCAGCCUUUCCAUUGUGUCCGGGCGCAAUGCGAUAAUGGAGUUAUGGUCAUUGGUGGCUUCGCUGGCCAUAGACGGCUUAUUGACUUCUUCCACUUGAGGAUCACCGUGAACCAGUCCUUCUUCCCCAUCCUACAUAAGCAUGCCAACCACAAAUAAAUGCUCAAAAAGACCAUCUUAAAUGUCAUUGAACCGGAUUAUGGGAGGCAGAAUCUUAUGACUCGGUGGAUGCAGAUAUCGAGGCCUCAUUUGUAUGUUGUGCCUCCCACCAGAGGUGUCUUCUAAUUAGAGUGGUGCGAGAAGACAAUAUAAGCCACCGUGCAAGCGAAACAAUUAGGAGGCACUGCUUGUAAAGCGGAGAAUUUGGCACUGUCUGGUGGCAUUGCGGUAGCCGCAGGGUGGAAGAGAGAGAGGGAGGGAGGGAGGGAGGAUGAAUCGGAAAACCAGGAGCAGGGGUGAUCAACGAUGAAAACCAAGAUGAAAAAACAAUGUGCAAGAGAGGAAGAGGAAUAGGCUAGCUAUUUCUGUAGUGAAGUAAUAUGAGCAUAACUUAACCCAUAGGUGUGGAACUUGGAUUCGGUUGAAGUAUAUACUAUACUAAAGUAAGCUGACUAAUUGCAAUUUAAAUCUUUGGUGGCAAUGCUUAUGAGUUGUGAGGCCAUCUUGACUAUUCUGGAUCUUGCAUAUGAUUCUAAUUAAACAGUAUAUGUCAGAUGUUUUUAAAGAGGCACACAUUAUAUUUGAUUGUUGAUUUACACAUUCUAAUUAAACAUUAUAUGUCAGAUGUUUCUAAUGAGGCCCACGUUAGAUUUGUAUGUUGAUUUACAAAGGGAUUGAUAAGUUGAUUCUAUCCUUUUUCCUCUGCCAUUCUUCCUUUCAUAAAAUGUGUCCAUCGAGUAAUUAUCCACAAUAACAAACAUGACUAGACAAAAUAUCCACGACAAGUUGCAUAUCUUGUGCAACUGUUCACUGGUGAAAGGCUAUUGUGCCACUAUCCAUCAUUGCAAGGAAAAAACACAAAAGAUUUAUGUUCUAUCAAAUAUAUUAUUUUGUUUGGAUUUAGCCAGGUAAGAUCCUGGUUGCGUCGGCCAUUAGAGUACCUUGCGAUCGACUAGACAGUUUCAGCAUAUCUUCUUGCCUCCUUUUGCAUCACUAGAUUUCGAUGGGCUUGCGAACAGGAAGAUAAACACGGCAACAAAGGAGACGAGAGAUGCCAGUGAUCCAUAUUUCCAAAUAAUUCUCUGCAAGUGAAUUCCAAAGAAUGCAUUGAAUUUUGUGCUGGCGUAGAAUCCAGCAGCAAGGGAAACACCAUGCUGACGCUAGGAGCUACGUGCUGCUACCGCGAGCUCCCAUGGCAAGACCUGCCCAGGGAGGACCGGCAAGAGAAACGGCUGAAGACACACCAAGACCCGGCAACAUGUAGGUUCAUAUUUCACCCCCACCCUCAGAUAAAAAUGUGAAUCAUUUCAAACAUAUUAAAACUUGAGUGGAUUUUUUUAUUUCGGAAAAAUAUGCCCACAAGAGCUCAGGAGUCAACGUCAGUUCUAGGUAAUUAAACAAACAAGAAGAUUGACUUGUUGAGCAAUUUUACUACAUUUUCUUGCUUCCUUUUACGACACUAGAACUUGAUGGACUUCCGGUCAGCUAGAUAAACAUGCCAAUAAAGGACUUCUUGACAAGUCUGUGCAGAUUAAAGGUAUGUUAGUAGGUGGUGUAAUAACACAUGAUUUUAGCUAUCUAAGGAUACAAAUAUGCCACUAUUUAUUUUGUAAAUGCUGGAAAUCAUUGUCGGAAAUCUUAGUAACAACAGUUGUCAUGAACAACUUCGACUAAAUGCAUCAAAUGUUAGGAAUAAUACAUACUAACUUAGUUCAAUAAAUUAACCUAUUGAAGCAAGAAAAGAAACCUUGAAAUGUACUUAGAGUGAAUCAAUUAAGACAUGCAAAGCCAGUACUAAUCCAGUUUUAUUAAUAACUUCCACAAAAUUACAACACGUGACGUAAAAAGGGAAUAUGAUAGGUCAUGUAUUGAUAACGUGUACAACAUUACUACCCUUGACAUAAAAAGAGAAGUUGAUGAGUCAUGUCUCAAUAACGUGUACAACAUUACUAUCAGCUUGUUCAUCUUACCAUCAUACUAUACAACACUACGAGUUAGUUUAAAAAGGAAUAAGAGUUCAGAAUGAACAUGACAGUACUAGCCUAAUCUAUCUUAACAACAUGCACAAGGACACAAAGUUUGUCUGCCACAAGAUAUGAAGAUUUGGUUUAUGUCUAACAACUUGUAUAACAUGACAAACUUAGAUCCAAAGGGAACACAAUCCAUAUAAUUGUUUGACAUGUAAAGUGAAUAAGAUGAGUCAGUGCCAAUUAUCAAGUUUUCCUCACUCUUAGAUAAUAUGAGUAGCAAAAAGGCAACUUUGAUGAUCACUCCAAAAUUACGAUUGUAUGCCGUGCCACCAAACACAACACACCAAAAAAUUAGUUCGAUAAGCAUUGAAUCACUUUAAAAAAGGAAAGCAGUGAUGAAAAGAAACCUAGCCAUGGUGGCUAUAAAAAGGCCUGCAAUAUGUGAGCUCCAUACCAUCAUCCAUCCUUCACACAACUAGAGCACAAGCAUCAAAUCCAAGUAGGUAGUAGUUAACGCAAAUCCACCAUGAAGACCUUACUCAUCCUGACAAUCCUUGCGAUGGCAAUAACCAUCGCCACCGCCAAUAUGCAGGCCGACCCUAGCGGCCAAGUACAAUGGCCGCAACAACAACCAUUCCUGCAGCCUCACCAACCAUUCUCCCAGCAACCACAACAAAUAUUUCCCCAACCCCAACAAACAUUCCCCCAUCAACCACAACAACAAUUUCCCCAGCCUCAGCAACCACAACAACAAUUUCUCCAGCCCCGACAACCAUUCCCCCAACAACCACAACAACCAUAUCCCCAGCAACCACAACAACCGUUCCCCCAGACUCAACAACCCCAACAACCAUUUCCCCAGUCCAAGCAACCACAACAACCUUUUCCCCAGCCCCAACAACCGCAACAAUCAUUCCCCCAACAACAACCAUCGUUGAUUCAACAAUCUCUACAACAACAGUUGAACCCAUGCAAGAAUUUCCUCUUGCAGCAAUGCAAACCUGUGUCCUUGGUGUCAUCCCUCUGGUCAAUCAUCUUGCCACCAAGCGAUUGCCAGGUGAUGCGGCAACAAUGUUGUCAACAACUAGCACAAAUUC
rnacentral:lncRNA from 1 species